GGGGGUUCCGGCCUGGGGGCUGCGGCCGCCGGGUCUGAAAGCUAGCUACCUGGUUGAUUCUGCCAGUAGUCAUAUGCUUGUCUCAAAGAUAAGCCAUG
rnacentral:rRNA from 1 species